rnacentral:tRNA from 1 species
UCCGGGCUGGUGUAACGGUCAGCACCAUCGGCUUUGACCCGGUAGGUCGAGGUUCGAAUCCUCGGCCCGGAGCCA